rnacentral:lncRNA from 1 species
UUUUGAGCUUGGCUGUCUGCAAGAGCCUUCCUGGUGGAAACAGAAUUGUUAGUCAGUUACAGUCUCCAUGGUGAUUUUUUUAAGGCGAAGUUUGAAUCAAUCUUCUAAACAUUGAGGCAUAAUUUGUGAAUGCAAUUGAAUGGAUAAUAGUAGAAUUAUCAGCAAUACAGUGUUAGCUUUAAUUUUGGUAUUUGAGACUUUCCACAGACUCGUUCAUAACUGGCCUUCAAAUUGGUCCUUAAACAUGACCUUAAGAGCCUCCCUUCCUCAAGCAAAAUGUUCCAGCUGCCUGCCUGUGCUUUCCUUCACUCUAUCUGCUUUCUGUGUAUCCGGUCCUGAGCACUUUUCUAGACUAUCUCCUUGUAAUCCCUCGUAUUUUAUGCAAUUCAGAUAAUCUAGGCUCCCUUGCCCUAGGAACUGCUACAUUGGAAACAAUUCCUGUUUGGAUGUCGGGAGAGCUUGCUUAGAGCCCUAACUCUCAAAAGCAAGGUCUGUAGCUUUAUUUCAGUCUUCUGAUCUCUCAGUUUUUCCUUCUAAAAAUUGAGCAAGUUGGGCUAGAUCAUUUCUAAUGUCUACAGAUUCUGUAAUGGAUCUUGGUUAUUGGAACAAAAUAAGACAUUCAUUAGCACUGUUUUCCUGCUCUAUAUUUUUAAUAGAGUGUUUUCUGUCCAUUAUCUGUUCCAAUUCGUGUUCAAAGGUCAAAAUUAUGAAAUGCAGAUAAAAGCUGCUAUCAGCUAGUGAGACGAAAGGAAUUCACCUCUCCAAGGAGACUCAUGUUCUGAUAAACCUUCAGAAUGUGUCUGCAGGCAGUGAGUGCUGUGAACCAAAUGUUUCCAGUGGCAAAAUAGAGGCAUCAAAUGAUUUCUUCUUUAUUAUCUGUCUUUAAGUGUCUAGAAAGCCAUUCAAACAAGAAAAAGGUCUAACAGCUGUUCAUUGGCCAAGAAUAAGUAAGUCUUUGAGGGUCAUCCAUUUAGGAAAAUAGACCAGAGUGUGUGAACCCUUACAUCGACCAAGACGAGGGAAAAUGAAGCAGCUAGUGUUUUCUGGGACUUUCAUGCAGUUUCUUCCCUUCUAUUACUUUUUUCCUCCAUUUCAACCUAUGCAUAGGUAACAAGAAAGUAACAGAAGAAGAAAACUACCCAGAAGCUCUUGGAAUGUGCUUCUUCAAGCUCUGUGUAGCUACCAUAAAUACUUGGAGUGUUUACUGUGUUAUAUUUACAAGUGGGGGGGGCAAUAUAGCCUAGGGAUUAAGAUUAUAGUCCCUGGAACCAGAUAACACAGUACCUAAAGCAGUGCCUGUCUCAUACUUAGAACACAAUAAAUGUUACCUUUAGUAGUUGUUGCUGGUACAUACUAAGUACCAGAUACAAAGUGAGGGAAAUAAUAAGUUUUCUGCCUUCAUAGAUGACCAAAAUAAACCCUACAUACAUUAAUAAAUAUUUGUAAAACACUGUGUUUGAGAAAACUGUGGCUAGGAGAAUAAAAUGUAGUCCAAUAUUCCAGACUGUUCAUCUCUCAGAUACAUCCCAGCACAUUUCCAAGCUUGUGUUACAAUAAAUUGGACAAACAUGGGGUUUCAGUUAAAAUGUACAAGGUGUAGAAUAAAUUUACACUGCAGCCUGGGUCACAUUGGUCUUGCCCUAUUUUAUAAUCCCCCAGGCUGAAAAAGAGUUCUUGUUAUUACAGGCAUGAAAAUGAACUCGGCUGCUUUUCUCCCAGAUUCCUCUCCCUUCCCACACUCCAGACCCCUCCAUCCUCUCCUUUUGUCCAUUGAGCACCCCCACCCCCCGCCUCAUGUCUUGUGAUCUCAUGCCUAAGAUCAAUUAGAAGGUGGUUCAGUGUUUUACAAGUUACUUGGCUAAGACAAUUAUACGGGCGCUGUGAGUUACCUCCUGGGAGGAUGCUGUUGAGCACGUGACAUUAAAUUAAUUGUACGCCUGAAUCCAUUGGCUGUGCUGUAAGACAGAACAUCUGCUCAGAUAAAGAGGUGGCUCAGGAGAAGCCAGAAAGGGCAGGGCAAAUUCUAGGUCUGGAGACAAGCUAGCUGAUGGGACAAAUGUCUCGGCUGCCACCAUCAUGGUGACAGCAGAGACACUGAUCUCCUCCAGGGCCAAGCUGGGCUGUGCUGCCUCAAGCCUUCCCGUGUCUGUCCUCCCUGAAAUCACUGUGACCACACCACCCAGCAGGACAGCGCAGUGAUCUCUGCCUGGAAGCCAUGUCUCCAUUUCCCAGGCUCCAUCAACAGCUCUGUGAGGAGAGUUUAUGGAAACUUAUGGGAGGAUCCGUGUUAGUGCAUAGCUGACUAAACACGAAACCUUGUCCCUGUCAUGCUGUAGGACUGCAGAGAAGCCACACCAAGACUGGAAAACAGAAGAACUUAAGGCGAGGAUUUUGUGUGGGCUUUAAAGGGCAGUUAUGAUUAGAAAUGGGACUGUAAAAACCGCAUUUCCAUGUUCCAGAUUUAUUCCCCCUGGUGACUUCCAUGUCACAUCCACUUAGUUUACAAAUACACACAAAAGAUUCCCCACCACAGCUGUAGGGAGCUCAGUGAGGGACUUGAACAAAAGAGCACAGAGUCCUGUCCUUUUGGUGUCUGAGGGGCCCCGGCCACCAGCUGGGAGGCGGCAGGAGCUUCAGUUUCUCUGGUGCUGAUUUCUCCAGGGCAUGUCAACCACCCACCCUCACUGCAGCCUGGCUCUGUCAGCAGGUGCUUCUGGAAGGAAAACGGAGUACUUUCUAAACGGCAAACAGAGCAGGUUGUUUAGAAAAUAAAAAGAAAUGGCAAAAAAGAAAAAAAAAAAGAAAGUUCUCACUGUGUGCCAGGCAUCGAUCAGGCUACAGAAAUGCUACACGUGUUUUCUCGUGGCAAACUGGCCAUUGCCUGGUGCACUCUGACAAGUCCUGUGAUCCAGAGGUCUGCUAAGUCCAGACACGGCACCACACUGUGUGCCAGGCUUUGUGCUGCUGCUUUCACCUCGGUAGAGGAGGGGUGUUAGCAAGACUACUCACCUCUUUCAGCCUGUAAGAUGUCACAUGCCAGCCGCUACCUGUGGCAAAGCUCCACGGGGACCCACUCCUUCUAUAGCCUGGGUCCUGGACACAAAGCAAGAGCUUGCAGGGACCUCAAGGACAAACUGCAAGAUGUAAAACCAUAGAGCUAAGAGAAGCAGAAGAGGGUCCUAGGCAUUAAAUUCAUUAAGAGGUGUGGCCAAUACAGGCAGUUGCCAGUAUUUAGUAUUUAGUCUCCUAGUAUUCCUCGCUCUGAGAAACGCAACUUUCUGGGGAUGCAGCGACAUGCCCAACCCAAGGCACUGUUGUUCAGAGACAGUCUGAUAAACCUGCUUCCCGAUUGUCUAACAUCUAUGAGAAGACUUGCAACCUGGAUCCAGUCAAGAAAAUCUAAGUGAAAGUCUGCUGGGAAGAGGGUGGGAAGAGGUGAGCCAUGACAUUUGCCUUGCCAGUUACACAGAAUAAUUGUGGCUGCCCACACCUCUUCCUCCUUGUAUAGUUUUCCUGUCUUGUACAUCGAUAUGAUGGCUGGCACUGCCUGUAACCAGGAGUUUACUCCUGUAACCAGGAGUGUAAGGCCACAGGAAUGGGAGAGAUGCUGGCCCUAAUACAGCUGAGUCACUAAAAUGACAGUAGUCAUUGCCUAGCUCUGUUGUUAUUGUGGGAGAAAAAGCCUGGUUCCUUAAAGCCUCUGUAACUGGAAUUUCUAUUACAGAGAGCUAAACGUGUUUCUAACUAAGAUGGUGGAAAGGAAGGGGCUCUUCCAUUUUCUGGAGGGAGGCUCAGCAUUUACAAGCUAGUCCUAGGUGCAUAACAGAAUUAAGAUGGACCCAAGCAAAUAUCACUUUGUGGGUGUUUGGGCAACACAAGACGUGUGGUCUCGAAGUGGCAGCUGAAAUUCUCAGAUGGCGGGAGACCGAUGUUGAAACACCAAAAAGCCUUUUGGGGGAUAUUUGACCACCUCUGUCGGGACAUAUAAAAAGACUGUGGCCCUGGUAGAACUGAAGAGACCUAAGAAGAAAGGCUGGACUUCUCUGCUCUCUGGAUUUUGUCUUCCUGGAGAACUACAUUAACACGAAACAAAACGAAAAGCCUGUCUUCCUCAGGGCCUUAUGGCAUGCAUCAUUUUCACGCCCAAGGGGAGCUCCAGCGUUGUCUCGCUGUAAAGAGCCACAUUCCCAGUGCCAUGUUCAUGCCUCUCUCUUGCCAUCCCGCUCAUGCUUCUUGCCACUUCUGACACUUACACACUCUCCUGGUCGGACCCCUGCGUUGCCCGUCAAAGAACCUCUCUCUCCCCUCAAACCCAAUAUGGCUUCUCCCUGCUAAUGUGCUGCGUCCGUGCUUUGGGAAUUUAUCUUUUCCAUCAGUGCUACUUUCCCCGAGCUUUCACUGGUCACUUGAGUGGAAAACAAGCAAAACAAAGCAAACAAACCAGAAUAAGGAAGAGAGCCAGCCAAAAGCACCGGUCAUUCAAGUUGAAUCCCAAUGGUGAUGGGGAGAGCUUGGGAUAGAGCAUUUCUAGCAGAGGGCGUUGGAUUUGGUCUUUCUUGCUUUGAAAUGCAUUUUCUUUUAGGGAAACUUUCUUAACCUUUCAGCUCCCUACUUUGUUCACCUGCAUGGGGAAAAUAAUAUAGAAAUGGCACAGCUGUUGUUUUUGCUGAGAUGAUUUAUCAGAACAAUUAGAAUAGUGCCUGAUACACAGUAAGUCUCCAAGAAACCUACCCUAUUUGAGUGAUGAGGAAAUCAUUUUAUUAAUGAAUAUUUAUUAAGUAUUGUUUAUAUUGCUUGGCUCCUGGAAUACAAUGUUAACCAUUAAGCUUUGGUGCCUACCUUCAGGAUUCUUAUAAUAUAAUAUAUUUUAAAGUCAGUAGAUAAGCCCCACUCUUUGGUUUUACAAGUGCCAUGAUAUAGAAUAAAAAACAGGGUUCUAGAUGACAUGUAACCUACCAGCAGAGAAGACUGGGAAACACCUAGGAUCCCAACAUACAUUUAGGGAGCACAAAUUCUCUUUGCCACAGUAAGUCCAUUUGGUCACUAAAUAUCCUAACUCUUCUCCUCAGUGUGAAAUGUAUUUACCUUCUCAAGGGACACAACCUUAUGUUCAACCCAAUCAGUACACUGUAUUGUCUCAUCCAGUUGGAAGAAAUAAACCACAUAGUGAUUUGACCAGGAGAAAUUAAAAAAAAUUUUUUUUUAAACAUUUAUUUGUUUUUGAGACAGAGAGAGACAGAGCAUGAACCGGGUAGGAGCAGAGAGAGAGGGAGACACAGAAUCUGAAACGGGCUCCAGGCUCUGAGCUGUCAGCACAGAGCCCGACGCGGGGCUCAAACUCACGGACGUGAAAUCAUGACCUGAGCGGAAGUUGGACGCUUAACCGACUGAGCCACCCAGGUGCCCUGAGAAAUUUUUUUUAAGUAGACUUGAGAGGCAGACAGAGACAGCAUAAGUGGGGAAGGGGCAGAGAGAGAGGAAAAGGGACAAUCCCAAGCAGGCUCUGUGCUACCAACACAGCAUGCGGGACAUGAACUCAGGAACUCAUGAAACCGUGAGGUCAUGACCUGAGCAGAAACAAAGAGUCAGAGGCUUAACCUACUGGGCCACCCAGGUGCCCCGGUCUGGGAGACUUUAAUAUAAAGAACUACUAACUAUAAUAGGAGUAAUCAGGGGUUAGUCGGAAGUCAAGAGAACUUUUUAUAAAGAAUACAGGAAAAUAUAUUCUAUGUUCUAUACAGGAAAGAUAUAAGGAGCGGUCACAUCUGUGAAGCUGAGAAUCCCUAAGGAUAUUUUAUGCAAGGUCCACUCCCCCUGCCCCCCCCACCCCUCCCCGGCAUCCAGAGCUGAGAUCCCACCUGACUGGGGAGGCCAUUGUGUAGCUCCACAUGAUAGAAAAGUCACUGUGGUGUCUUGCUGGGAAAACUUGCUGGGCAUCUACUCUGGAAUUUGCUGGAAACCUUCUCCCUAGGAAAGCUAUUCUCAAAGAGACCUCUCACAGGUGGUGCUCUCCCAUGAAGCACUCACAGAGAACAUGCCAAGCAAGCUUCUGGCUGCCAGGAGCUGCUGGCCUCUGUGCAAUGCAGGAGCCUGACUAUGGUGAAGCCACCCACACGCAGGGCCACACCCAGAGAACACACCAGAAGCAGGGAGCUAACCCCUUGUCCUCCGGGAAUCUUUCUCCAGUGCCUCGUACAGCACAGUGCAAGCUGGCGAAGGGGAGAUAGUUAACAGUCCAGAUUCAUUUUUGCAGAACAGCCAAAAAGUUUGAAUUUGUUGCUGAGAGGGAGCGGGUUGAUAAAUAGCACAAGCAUCAGACCCAAAGCAGACACUGCACAGAAUUCUAUCCCUUAGGCAGAAGGGUCAGCUCUGAGUCCAGGGAGUUGGGAACUAAAAUGUUACCUUCCUUGCACCAGUAACCAUGCCUGGAUAUCUUAAGAGACCUAGGUUUUAGAGCCGUUACUUUACUUUUCAUGUUUGCCCUCGUAUCUCCCUCUCAACUUAAUUAAAACUAACUCUCAGACUCAAUCUGGCCUUUGCCCUAAAUCACUUUAUCAUACUGGGAGGUUACUCUGGACAUUUGUCAGUCAAAGACUUUUCCAGUCCCUUCUCUUUCUGUUUGGACUUCAGAAACAAUUAGUUUUUCCAGCCCUGUGAGGCCCCCAAAUUUCCAGACUCUUUCUAUUCCAUUCCACUUCAUUUCUGCUUGUAAACAGGCUCAUUCUUUAUUGAGCCCACCUCUUUCUUUUCUUUUUAAAUUUUUUAAAAUGUUUAUUUAUUUUUGAGAGAGAGAGAGACAGGGUGCGAGCGGGAGAGGGGCAGAGAGAGAGGGGGAGACACAGAAUCCGAAGCAGGCUCCAGGUUCUGAGCUGUCAGCACAGAGCCCACUGCAGGGCUCGAACCCAUGGAAUGCGAGAUCAUGACCUGAACCAAAGUCAGUUGCCUAACUGACUGAGCCACCCAGGUGCCCCAAGCCCACCUCUUCCUUGUAAUACCUUCCUAAAUCCACAGUAGUAGCUAAUGCGUCACUAAUAGCAACUGUUCUGUUUUCAUUGUUAAACAUGGAUCAUCUGAUUCUCAAGUACCAGGUUCUUCUUCGCUUACUGCUCAACCUUAUCCAAUGCCAUGUACACCAGGUUGUUGUGAUGUCAGUGCCCCCUUUUUGGGACCAAUAUUCACUUUAGUCCGGAUAAUUAAUGUUUGCUGUCUCAGCACACCCACCCUAAAAUCCCAGUGUCUUCACAGAAUAAAGGAUUAUUUCUCAUUUAAUCCAAAUCUGAUAUAGAUUUAACAGCCCUCUUGUGUCUUCAAGCCACAUUUGUGGAACACACAGCGUUCAAGAUCAACAUGGUAGGAGAGAAAAAAAAAACUGUGUCAAAAAGGGCUUCUCAAAAUAAAGAGUGAAGGCAAGUAUGUUCCAGCAUGAAGGAUCAGCAUUGCAGAGAAAGCAUGGUGCCACUUUGGAAACAUACAAGGGACUAACUCAUCAUUCUUGAUGAUGGAGAGAUGUAUCCCAAGAUAUCAUUACAUUGGACUUCUCUUUGUUCAGGGCUUUGGACAUGUGGAGACCACAUGGAAAUCACAGCUGGACUGAAAUAUGAAGGGACAGAGAUAUGCAGUACCUAUGUAUGUAAUCAGAGUAUUUUUAAUGUCUUCAUUUUCAGAGAUGAAUAUACGUUCACAUUACUUAUGAAACAGAUAAUUUUUCUUUCACUCAACAAUCCUGCUUUCAGGAAUUGUUCUAAGGGCUAUAAUUAUGAACUACUAGGAUAGAGUGAUUUGUAAGUUAUUGACCAAAUGGGGACACUUUUGUGAGUGCAAGGGUAUGCUAUAAAUAAUUAGACUGGGACAACAGUGUGAACUGGUUCUAUGCUGGAUGAAUGGGGAUGUGUGGUAUCAUGAAAUUUCUAUGUAAGCAUCAUGAAAUGUGUCAGGUCACUAUUUACAGUGUAAAAUUAAAUAAAUAAUAGUGACAAAUAGGCAAGUAUUAUAAUUCUUAUAUGAAACGAUGACAUUAUAAGCAGUAGAUAAAGUGAUGUUAUAAAUAAAAUAUGUGAGGAGUGCCUGGAUGGCUCAGUUGGUUGAGCGUCUAACUUCGGUUCAGGUCAUGAUCUCGCGGUUUGUGAGUUCAAGCCCCUCAUUGGGCUAUGUGCUGACAGCUCAGAGCCUGGACCCUGCUUCAGAUUCUGUCUCCCUCUCUCUCUGACCCUCUCCCAUUGACUCUCUCUCUCUCUCUCUCUCUCUGUCUCAAAAAUAAAUAAACAUUAAAAAAACAAAUAAAUAAAAUAUGUGAUACAUGGAAAGAGUUCACAGCAUAUCAAGAUGUGAAAAACAGUUUAAAAACUUAUUUGCAUUUAUAGUGUGGGGGUAAAGAUAGUGAAAAACUCCUACAGUUUAUUAAAAUUGUUUAACUUAAAUGGAUGAAUGGUAGAAUGAUAUAUGUGUGUCUAUAUAUAUAUAUACAUAUAUAUAUAUAUAUAACAUAUUUUUUCUUCUAUAUAUAUAAAAUACUUUUUUUUUCACUUAUCAUAUUUUCUAGUUUAAUUCAUUCUUACCACUCAGCAGGCAAGAGAGUCUGUAUUUUAAAAAGUUACAUUAGGAUCUCACCAAGGUUUUUACCAGUGGAUUCAGCUGAAGGGCAGCUCAGAGUCAAAGAAUAAUAAUUCUUCCCAAAUGUAUAGCACUUUCACGUUAAAGUGCUUUCAUGUGCAUUAUCUGAUUUGAUCUACUCACCAAUAGACAGGUAUUAUAAUUUUCAUUUUACAGUUUCAGAACCAGAAUUUCUGAAAGAUUAACUUAAUUGCCCAAAGUCAAACAGAUAUUUUGAGGCAAAGUUGGAAUUGUUAACUCACAUCUGCCAACUCUGAGUUCAAAUUUCUUUCAAAGGUAGCUUCUGAGGAUCCUUCUGGGUCACUGGUUGUGACCCAAAAUUUUAUUACAGACAGUGAUAAGGAGCCGCUAUUUAUUUGGUUGGAAGGGACCUCUGGAAAAUUUGUCUUGAAACUUCACAUGAAGUGAUGUGCUUAGCAGACUUGUUCCUGCCUGAUCGACAGAAAGUUAAAACACUGAAAUUAAUAAAAAUGCAACCCCC